CCUACGGGUGGCAGCAGUGAGGAAUAUUGGUCAAUGGGCGUAAGCCUGAACCAGCCAAGUCGCGUGAAGGAUGACUGCCCUAUGGUUUGUAAACUUCUUUUAUAAGGGAAUAAAGUGCGGCACGUGUGCUGUUUUGUAUGUACCUUAUGAAUAAGGAUCGGCUAACUCCGUGCCAGCAGCCGCGGUAAUACGGAGGAUCCGAGCGUUAUCCGGAUUUAUUGGGUUUAAAGGGUGCGUAGGUGGGUUUUUAAGUCAGUGGUGAAAGUUUGUGGCUCAACCGUAGAAUUGCAGUUGAAACUGGCAGGCUUGAGUACAGUUGAGGCAGGCGGAAUUCGUGGUGUAGCGGUGAAAUGCUUAGAUAUCACGCAGAACUCCGAUUGCGAAGGCAGCUUACUAAGCCGCGACUGACACUGAUGCUCGAAAGCGUGGGGAUCAAACAGGAUUAGAUACCCGGGUAGUC
rnacentral:rRNA from 1 species